rnacentral:rRNA from 1 species
AGAGUUUGAUCCUGGCUCAGGAUGAACGCUAGCGGAGUGCCUAAAACAUGCAAGUCGAACGAGCUCUACCAAGAAGAUAAGAAGUGCUUGCACUGAAGAUUGGAAAGGAUUAUUGAGCAAGUGGCGAACGGGUGAGUAACACGUGCUUAACCUGCCCUGGAGAGUGGGACAACUGUGGAAACGCAGCUAAUCCCGCAUAAUGUAUACCUGAGGAAGAUAGGGUAUAGGAAAGAUUUAUCGCUCUAGGAGGGAGGCGCGGCCUAUCAGUUAGUUGGUGAGGUAGAGGCUCACCAAGACAAGGACGGGUAGCCGGAUUGAGAGGUUGAACGGCCACAAUGGGACUGAGACACGGCCCAUACUCCUACGGGAGGCAGCAGUUAGGAAUCUUGCACAAUGGGGGAAACCCUGAUGCAGCGACUCCGCGUGAAGGAUGAAGCCUUACGGGGUGUAAACUUCUUUUCUGGGGGAAGACGAAUGACGGUACCCCAGGAAUAAGGGACGGCUAACUACGUGCCAGCAGCCGCGGUAAUACGUAGGUCUCGAGCGUUAUUCGGAAUUACUGGGCGUAAAGGGUCCGUAGCCGGUUUGAUAAGUCUAGUUUCAAAGACUUCGACUCAAUCGAAGGAAGGGGGUAGAUACUGUCAAACUAGAAGUAAGUAGGGGCUAAUGGAAUUUCCGGUGGAGAGGUGAAAUUCGUUGAUAUUGGAAGGAAUGCCGAAAGCGAAGGCAGUUAGCUAUACUUAACUUGACGGUGAAGGACGAAAGCUUGGGGAGCGAACGGGAUUAGAUACCCCGGUAGUCCAAGCAGUAAACGAUCCUCGCUAGAUGUUUGUCUGUAUAGAUGAGUGUCGAAGUUAACACGUUAAGCGAGGCGCCUGGGUAGUAUAAUCGCAAGAUUGAAACUCAAAGGAAUAGGCGGGGGAACACACAAGCAGUGGAUUAUCUCGAUUAAUUGGAUAAUAAGCCAAGAAUCUUACCUGGGUUUGACAUCCUUCGAACCUUUUAGAGAUAAGAGGGUGCUCUAUGCAAAUAGAGAGCGAAGAGACAGGCGCUGCAUGGCCGUCGUCAGCUCGUGCCGCGAGGUGUCUAGUUAAGUCUAGAAACGAGCGCAACCCACAUACCUAGUUAGAAUGUCUAGGUAGACUGCCCUUGCAAAAGGGAGGAAGGAGUGGAUGACGUCAGGUCACUAUGGCCCUUAUGUCCAGGGCAUCAGAGGUAAUACAAUGGUAUGUACAGAAGGAUGCGAGACCGUGAGGUGGAGCCAAACCUGAAAGCAUACCUAAGUGCGGAUUGCAGUCUGGAACUCGACUGCAUGAAGUUGGAAUUGCUAGUAAUGGUGAAUCAGCGAAGUCACCGUGAAUAUGUCCCUGUUCCUUGCACUCACCGCCCGUCAUACCAUGGGAGUUGGGGUUCUUUGAAGACUUACGAAGUGGGUUGAAAAGAAAACUGAUGACUGGGGUAAAGUCGUAACAAGGUA